UGGAAAUCUGGAGUUGGGCCUCAAGCUGCUGGUUUCAAAUUAGGUACUUCAUUGCCGAGAGGACGCUGUUUCCAGAAUGAAACCCCUCAUUUGACAUGUCGUUGAUGCAAGGCCCUUGGCUUCUACCUAUCACAAGAUGCUGAUUGAACACUUACUGGUCCCCAGGAGGAGUCUGAGGUGCUGGGUUCCAGCUGUGAACAGAAUCAAGUCCUCCUUGUCACAGAGCUGACAUUCUAGAGCAGACAGCAGACAAUAAGCCAGGCAUGCAGCACACAAACAAAGAAAGAGGAAGCUCUCCAAA